UACGGGGGGGGCAAGCGUUGUUCGGAAUUACUGGGCGUAAAGGGCGCGUAGGCGGCCUUCUAAGUCAGACGUGAAAUCCCCGGGCUCAACCCGGGAACUGCGUCCGAUACUGGCAGGCUUGAAUCCGGGAGAGGGAUGCGGAAUUCCAGGUGUAGCGGUGAAAUGCGUAGAUAUCUGGAGGAACACCGGUGGCGAAGGCGGCAUCCUGGACCGGCAUUGACGCUGAGGCGCGAAAGCCAGGGGAGCAAACGGG
rnacentral:rRNA from 1 species